UACGUAGGGUGCGAGCGUUAAUCGGAAUUACUGGGCGUAAAGCGUGCGCAGGCGGUUUGUUAGGCCAGAUGUGAAAGCCCCGGGCUCAACCUGGGAACUGCGUUUGGUACUGGCAAGCUAGAGUACGGCAGAGGGGGGUGGAAUUCCACGUGUAGCAGUGAAAUGCGUAGAGAUGUGGAGGAACACCGAUGGCGAAGGCAGCCCCCUGGGCCGAUACUGACGCUCAGGCACGAAAGCGUGGGGAGCAAACAGG
rnacentral:rRNA from 1 species